AAAGCUUGGUGCAAAUGCCAUACUGGCCGUGUCUCUUGCUGUAUGCAAAGCUGGAGCCAGUGUGAAGAAGAUUCCUCUAUACCAGCAUAUAGCCAACCUUGCUGGAAAUAAGAACUUGGUACUGCCUGUUCCUGCAUUUAAUGUUAUCAACGGAGGGUCGCAUGCAGGAAAUAAGCUGGCUAUGCAGGAGUUCAUGAUCCUUCCUGUUGGUGCUUCAUCAUUCAAAGAAGCCAUGAAGAUGGGAGUAGAAGUAUAUCAUCAUUUAAAGAGUGUUAUCAAGAAAAAAUAUGGCCAGGAUGCUACUAAUGUUGGUGAUGAAGGUGGAUUUGCUCCUAACAUUCAGGAAAAUAAGGAGGGACUUGAAUUGUUGAAGACGGCAAUAGCAAAAGCUGGAUACACCGGCAAGGUUGUGAUUGGGAUGGAUGUUGCUGCAUCUGAAUUU
rnacentral:misc_RNA from 1 species